GCUUAGCUCAGCUGGUUCAGAGCGUCUGCCUUACAAGCAGAGGGUCGGCGGUUCGAAUCCGUCAGCGC
rnacentral:tRNA from 4 species